rnacentral:rRNA from 1 species
UACGGGGGGGGCAAGCGUUGUUCGGAGUUACUGGGCGUAAAGGGCUCGUAGGUGGCCAACUAAGUCAGACGUGAAAUCCCUCGGCUUAACCGGGGAACUGCGUCUGAUACUGGAUGGCUUGAGUUUGGGAGAGGGACGCGGAAUUCCAGGUGUAGCGGUGAAAUGCGUAGAUACCUGGAGGAACACCGGUGGCGAAGGCGGCGUUCUGGACUGCAACUGACACUGAGGAACGAAAGCCAGGGGAGCAAACGGG